AUUGAACGCUGGCGGCAGGCCUAACACAUGCAAGUCGAGGGGUAGAACACUUCGGUGUUUGAGACCGGCGCACGGGUGCGUAACGCGUAUGCAAUCUACCUUGUACAGGGGAAUAGCCCAGAGAAAUUUGGAUUAAUGCCCCAUAGUAUAUAACCUUCGCAUGUUGGUGAUAUUAAAGUUCCAACGGUACAAGAUGAGCAUGCGUCCCAUUAGUUAGUUGGUAAGGUAACGGCUUACCAAGACGAUGAUGGGUAGGGGUCCUGAGAGGGAGAUCCCCCACACUGGUACUGAGACACGGACCAGACUCCUACGGGAGGCAGCAGUGAGGAAUAUUGGUCAAUGGGCGCAAGCCUGAACCAGCCAUGCCGCGUGCAGGAAGACAGUCCUAUGGAUUGUAAACUGCUUUUAUACAGGAAGAAACAACUCUACGUGUAGAGUCUUGACGGUACUGUAGGAAUAAGGAUCGGCUAACUCCGUGCCAGCAGCCGCGGUAACAC
rnacentral:rRNA from 1 species